GGAUGAAAUGGAAAUUUCAGUAAAAUGUCGGCCAUGUUGUGGGGAAGUGUAUUAUUUCUGUCAAAUUGAUGAGUUUUUCAAAGUUUUUUAAUUGAAAAUGGAAGAACAAAAGGAAACAAAAGUUAUUUAUCAUAUAGACGACGAGGAAACACCAUAUUUAGUGAAAAUCUCUAUAUCACCAAAACAAGUUACUCUUGCAGACUUUAAAAAUGUUCUUAAUAGACCCAAUUACAAGUUUUUCUUCAAGUCAAUGGAUGACGAUUUUGGGGUGGUCAAGGAAGAGAUUAUUGAUGACACUGCACAUCUUCCAUGUUUUAAUGGAAGGGUAGUCAGUUGGCUUGUCUCAGCUGAUGGUUCAAAUCAGUCAGAUGGUGGUUCUCAAUGUACAGAUAGUGUUUCACAUCAAGCUGAAUCAAGACUUCCUUCACAAGCAGCUGAUUCAGUUUGUACAGACACAGAAUCAAUUAUAAGUUCAAGGCAAGGUAGAAGACAUCACAAAUACUCAUCUAGAAUAAAUGGCCAUCUUCCAAGAGUAUAUGAGACUGCCUCUAUUGUCAGUUCUGACAUAGAAACUACAAGUUUUCAGUCUGAAACUACAGGUAGACAUACAGCAUUAUCAGAAUGUUCAAGUGUUAGCCGAUUACAUGUCGCAGGUCGUAAAAGACCUCAGAGGAGGCGGAAACAAAGAUUACAGGCUAUGUCAAGAACUAGCUCUUAUUCUAGUAUUACGGAUUCUACAAUGUCUUUGAAUAUUAUAACUGUCACUUUAAAUAUGGAUACUGUCAAUUUUCUUGGAAUAUCUAUAGUAGGGCAAAGUAAUAAAGGUGGCGAUGGUGGCAUAUAUGUAGGAUCUAUAAUGAAGGGUGGUGCUGUUGCUCUGGAUGGUAGAAUAGAGCCUGGUGACAUGAUACUACAAGUAAAUGAUGUAAAUUUUGAAAACAUGUCAAAUGAUGAAGCUGUGAAAGUUUUGAGAGAAGUGGUCCAAAAACCAGGGCCUAUAAAGUUGGUUGUGGCAAAAUGUUGGGACCCUAAUCCGAAAGGUUACUUUACUAUCCCAAGAACAGAGCCUGUUAGACCUAUAGAUCCAGGUGCUUGGGUUGCUCAUACAGCAGCAGUUAGAGGAGACCCUGUGGCAAGGCCUCCUAGCAGUUCUACUGUAUCAAGCACAUCUAUUGCAAGUACAAUUCCCGCCAACGAACGUGAGUGUCUUCUAGGUUCUGAUUUAGUUGAACCUCUCACUGUCAAUUCUCCCAUGUCUGAAGUCGUUCAGGCUAUGCAGAGGCCUGACAGCGGGUUGGAAAUUCGCGAUCGGAUGUGGUUAAAAAUCACAAUACCCAACGCUUUUAUUGGCACCGAUAUGAUCGAUUGGCUGAUGACGCACGUCGAAGGGUUUCCAGAUCGAAGAGACGCUAGAAAAUACGCUUCGCAUCUAUUGAAAGCCGGCUUUAUUAGACAUACCGUAAACAAGAUUACUUUCUCUGAACAGUGUUACUAUAUCUUUGGAGAUCUGUGUUCGGCAAUGAGCAAUUUAAAACUUCAGGGGGAUACCGAUAGUGUAGGACCAUUGCCGAAUGUUCCAAAUUACAUGCCAUACAGUGGAACGUACAAUCCUUUGGAAUACAUGCCAAUGCCAUUUUAUAGCGAAAAUACAGUUUAUGGUUAUAAUAAGGAGGAAAGUGUACUCAGUGGGAGCGGUGGCAGUUCUAAUGGUUCGGAUCCAUUGAAAGAUAACGCCGGUCACAGUAGCGCUAGCGAUUCGGACCUGACGUCACUCGGACCUCGUUCCGUUCCCCUGCACGGCGCCACUGGCAACGGGAAUGGUAGCAGCAAUGGGUCAGAGAGAAGUAGCGGCACCCAGCCCUGUCCGGGACAAGGAGGGAACAAAGAUAUUGCUGUUUUAAGUUACCUCUAAGUGCAAUUUUCACAGUAGGCACUCUUUUGCAAGUUUUUACAAAAUUUGCUUGUUUUGAAGAUCAGACAGGAGUCGUGAGCUAUCAGUUUACACAAACGUAAAGCAGCACGACUGACAUCCAAUUAUUCAAUACGAGUAUACCAUACAUAAUACCAACUUUUUAACGGUUUUAUAAUGCUACGUGUAUAUUAAAAUGUUAUAUGUACAGGUAUUUUUUUCUUUAGAGGUCGACAUAAUAAUUAUUAAAGUCUCAAAACAAACAUAAAUAAUUAGGCGAUAUAUUUAUUUUCUAGUUGAUAUUUUGCCAGGAGAUAUAUAAUCUAACUAUACAGGGUGAUACACGGUUACAAUAGGUUGGAUAUUUAUGUAGAAGGGGUGAUUUUUUAAAUAAUUUAUACACGGUUCAGUUUAAAAUAAC